rnacentral:rRNA from 1 species
AUUGAACGCUGGCGGCAGGCCUAACACAUGCAAGUCGAACGAGCGGCGGACGGGUGAGUAAUGUAUGGGGAACUGCCCGAUAGAGGGGGAUAACUACUGGAAACGGUGGCUAAUACCGCAUACCAUCGGAUGUACCCAUAUGGGAUUAGCUAGUAGGUGGGGUAAAGGCUCACCUAGGCGACCAUCCCUAGCUGGUCUGAGAGGAUGACCAGCCACACUGGGACUGAGACACGGUCCAGACUCCUACGGGAGGCAGCAGUGGGGAAUAUUGCACAAUGGGGGAAAGCCUGAUGCAGCCAUGCCGCGUGUAUGAAGAAGGCAUUAGGGUUGUAAAGUACUUUCAGCGGGGAGGCGUUACCCGCAGAAGAAGCACCGGCUAACUCCGUGCCAGCAGCCGCGGUAAUAC